rnacentral:rRNA from 1 species
AUUGAACGCUGGCGGCAGGCCUAACACAUGCAAGUCGAGCGGUAGCACAGAGAGCUUGCUCUCGGGUGACGAGCGGCGGACGGGUGAGUAAUGUCUGGGAAACUGCCUGAUGGAGGGGGAUAACUACUGGAAACGGUAGCUAAUACCGCAUAAUGUCGCAAGACCAAAGUGGGGGACCUUCGGGCCUCAUGCCAUCAGAUGUGCCCAGAUGGGAUUAGCUAGUAGGUGGGGUAACGGCUCACCUAGGCGACGAUCCCUAGCUGGUCUGAGAGGAUGACCAGCCACACUGGAACUGAGACACGGUCCAGACUCCUACGGGAGGCAGCAGUGGGGAAUAUUGCACAAUGGGCGCAAGCCUGAUGCAGCCAUGCCGCGUGUGUGAAGAAGGCCUUCGGGUUGUAAAGCACUUUCAGCGGGGAGGAAGGCGGUAAGGUUAAUAACCUCAUCGAUUGACGUUACCCGCAGAAGAAGCACCGGCUAACUCCGUGCCAGCAGCCGCGGUAAUACGGAGGGUGCAAGCGUUAAUCGGAAUUACUGGGCGUAAAGCGCACGCAGGCGGUCUGUCAAGUCGGAUGUGAAAUCCCCGGGCUCAACCUGGGAACUGCAUUCGAAACUGGCAGGCUAGAGUCUUGUAGAGGGGGGUAGAAUUCCAGGUGUAGCGGUGAAAUGCGUAGAGAUCUGGAGGAAUACCGGUGGCGAAGGCGGCCCCCUGGACAAAGACUGACGCUCAGGUGCGAAAGCGUGGGGAGCAAACAGGAUUAGAUACCCUGGUAGUCCACGCCGUAAACGAUGUCGAUUUGGAGGUUGUGCCCUUGAGGCGUGGCUUCCGGAGCUAACGCGUUAAAUCGACCGCCUGGGGAGUACGGCCGCAAGGUUAAAACUCAAAUGAAUUGACGGGGGCCCGCACAAGCGGUGGAGCAUGUGGUUUAAUUCGAUGCAACGCGAAGAACCUUACCUGGUCUUGACAUCCACAGAACUUUCCAGAGAUGGAUUGGUGCCUUCGGGAACUGUGAGACAGGUGCUGCAUGGCUGUCGUCAGCUCGUGUUGUGAAAUGUUGGGUUAAGUCCCGCAACGAGCGCAACCCUUAUCCUUUGUUGCCAGCGGUCCGGCCGGGAACUCAAAGGAGACUGCCAGUGAUAAACUGGAGGAAGGUGGGGAUGACGUCAAGUCAUCAUGGCCCUUACGACCAGGGCUACACACGUGCUACAAUGGCAUAUACAAAGAGAAGCGACCUCGCGAGAGCAAGCGGACCUCAUAAAGUAUGUCGUAGUCCGGAUUGGAGUCUGCAACUCGACUCCAUGAAGUCGGAAUCGCUAGUAAUCGUAGAUCAGAAUGCUACGGUGAAUACGUUCCCGGGCCUUGUACACACCGCCCGUCACACCAUGGGAGUGGGUUGCAAAAGAAGUAGGUAGCUUAACCUUCGGGAGGGCGCUUACCACUUUGUGAUUCAUGACUGGGGUGAAGUCGUAACAAGGUAACCGUAGGGGAACCUGCGGC